rnacentral:lncRNA from 1 species
GCAGAUUCUAGAGCCUCUAGAACCACAGAAACUGAGCUAAUGCGUGUGUUCUCUUUGAACCAGACAGGGUGUGACCAUCUGUUUGACAAGGAAAUCACCUUACAUUUUCAUUACCCAAAAGAUCAUGGAAGCAUGGUCUUCGCAGGAACUUCGGUCUUACUGAGGGCUCACGGGCGGUCGGAGUUCAAUGGAGGAAAGAAAGGAUCCAUAGCUGCAGGUGAGGGGAGCUCAGAUGGGGAUCUCUUUGAAAACAACACAAACAUUUUAUUGAGCAGCCCCUGUGCAGAGGCAUUUUGCUCAGUACCGGGAAGAUCACAAGGAUGAAUGACAUAGCACCCUCACCCCAGAGUGCAGCCAUCUGGGGUGGCAGUUAAACACACACAGUGGGAACCGGGUACAAUGCCGGUUUUGAUGAUGCCAUAAUUCAGCGAGAAACAAAAGACCAGGAGGAGCUGAGAGGUACAGCCACCGGUGCUAUCACACACUAGGAGACUGUGGAUAACGAUGGUGUGUUGUGUAUAACAGAAAGCCAGGAGAAAGCAUCGGGAAUGUUUUCAUUACAGAGACAUGAUCCAUGUGGGAGGACGCAGAGACACUCAACCUGGUUUAGACAGCGCACCAUAUAUACGUGUACAGAAACAAAGCACCCCAUAGGUAUGUACAAUUUCACGUAUCAGUCAAAAUGAAUUUAAUAAACAAAAUCGGGCUGAAACGAGGGCCUUCAAAACACGUUUCACAGCAGGAAGUUCCUGGGGAGGAACCUGCUGUGUUCGGAGAUGGACAGAUUUCCAUGAGGCCGUUGUGCUGGGUAUGUUGAGAGGCUAAAAAAUGAAGCUAAAGGAAGUCGAACUGCGGAAUCUUAGUCCACAGACAGGAUAAACACAAGGACUGAGCUUUCUGAAGGUGACUGGGUGAUUUCAGCAUGGACCAGGGUAGGGGAGAGACUGGCAGUGCAGACUACAUCCAGAAAGCAACUGUGACCCUUCUUGAGAGAAGUUACGAAGAGUGACCACAGACAGGAAAAGGUGGAAGCCGAUUCUGUUAAUAUCCGAGAGAUAUAAUGAGCAAAAUUUUGCCCCUGAACAGCCA